ACGCUGGCGGCGUGCCUAAUACAUGCAAGUUGAACGAGAGCGACCGGUGCUUGCACUGGUCAAUCUAGUGGCGAACGGGUGAGUAACACGUGGGUAACCUGCCCAUCAGAGGGGGAUAACAUUCGGAAACGGAUGCUAAAACCGCAUAGGUCCUUUAACCGCAUGGUUGAAGGAGGAAAAGAGGCGCAAGCUUCUGCUGAUGGAUGGACCCGCGGUGCAUUAGCUAGUUGGUGAGGUAACGGCUCACUAAGGCCGUGAUGCAUAGCCGACCUGAGAGGGUGAUCGGCCACAUUGGGACUGAGACACGGCCCAAACUCCUACGGGAGGCAGCAGUAGGGAAUCUUCCGCAAUGGACGCAAGUCUGACGGAGCAACGCCGCGUGAGUGAAGAAGGUUUUCGGAUCGUAAAACUCUGUUGUUAGAGAAGAACAAGUGCUAGAGUAACUGUUAGCGCCUUGACGGUAUCUAACCAGAAAGCCACGGCUAACUACGUGCCAGCAGCCGCGGUAAUACGUAGGUGGCAAGCGUUGUCCGGAUUUAUUGGGCGUAAAGCGAGCGCAGGCGGUUCCUUAAGUCUGAUGUGAAAGCCCCCGGCUCAACCGGGGAGGGUCAUUGGAAACUGGGGAACUUGAGUGCAGAAGAGGAGAGUGGAAUUCCAUGUGUAGCGGUGAAAUGCGUAGAUAUAUGGAGGAACACCAGUGGCGAAGGCGACUCUCUGGUCUGUAACUGACGCUGAGGCUCGAAAGCGUGGGUAGCAAACAGGAUUAGAUACCCUGGUAGUCCACGCCGUAAACGAUGAGUGCUAAGUGUUGGAGGGUUUCCGCCCUUCAGUGCUGCAGUUAACGCAUUAAGCACUCCGCCUGGGGAGUACGACCGCAAGGUUGAAACUCAAAGGAAUUACGGGACCCGCA
rnacentral:rRNA from 1 species